rnacentral:rRNA from 1 species
AUGUUCCCUAUGGUAACUGGGUUCAUGAGUUAUGGUCAACAAACAAUACAUGCUACAAGGUACAUAGGUCAAAGUUUCAUAACUACCUUAUCCCACACAAAUCAUUUACCUAUAACGAUUGACUACCCUUAUGAAAAAUCAAUUACACGAGAGCGUUUCCGAGGGCGAAUCCACUUUGAAUUUGAUAAAUGUAUUGCUUGUGAAGUAUGUGUUCGCGUAUGUCCGAUAGAUUUACCUGUUGUGGAUUGGAGAUUUGAAAAAGAUAUUAAAAGAAAACAAUUGCUUAAUUAUAGUAUUGAUUUCACAUAA